AAUGCUACUUAUCUCCCUCACAAACAAUUCACAUAUAGUUAAAGUUUUAAGCUUUUAUUAAAGGGCAUUUUAAAUACAUUUUUUCAGCACUUUGUAUACAUAAACCCCCCAUUUCAAGACACCAUAAUGUUUGAGACAAGUGGCUUCUAUCCAGGUGUUUCUGAUUUGUCAGCUGUGUUCAUUUGCUUCCUUAGUGCAGGUAUAAGACAGCAUUCAGUAUCUAGUCUUCAUUCUAGGUUUUUGAUUGUCUUUGGAGUCUGUUAUUGGCACUUGUCAACAUGACACCUGUUUGACAGAUCAGAAACACUCUUCAGGAGGCAGGCGUGGAUGUGUCAGAGAGUACUGUCCACAGAAGACUUCAGGAACAGAACUACGGAGGCUACAUUGCAAGAUACAAAUAACUGGUUUGCCACAAAAAUCUGAGUGGAUGGAGCAUCCUGUUUGGAUUGGCACUAGCCUUGGGACCAGCACACACCAGCAAGAGUGAACCACCAGGGGGUGAUGUUGACCCUGAAUCCUUGCUCCUGCACCUGGGUGAACCUCAAUGUCAAUCUCAUGCAAGUCUCAUCAGCUGAUCAUUACUCAAUCACCAGCAUCACCGCAUUUCUUUGCAUUUCUGAC